GUGCCAAAAAAAUCUGCCUCCCGAUCCCAUCUCGAUCUCUAAGCUCCAGCGCGCCGCCACCUCCUGCCGACCGCCACCCUCCCCGGCACCGCGCGACGCCACGAACGCCGUGGCCGUUGGCGGCUCCCCCCGCCCCCGUCGGCUGCCCCGGUCGUUCCUCGGCGCCGCUCACAGCCUCCCCGCGCAACGCGCCCGCACCUGCGCCCGGGGUGGUCCAGAUCAGCGAGGAGCACCUCGUGCGGUGCGCGGCAGCGGGGAGGCUCCCCGAUCCAAAAAUCCAUCCACCCAGUCCUCUCCUCGAUUUCCAAAUCGAGCCUACCGGCAGCCUCCGUGCGCAGCUGUGCCCCCGCGCCUCUGCCUCACCGAGUGCCCGACCCGGCCGUCGUUCAUCGCUAGCACCCGCGGAUCCGGCCGCCCCUCACCUUCCCCAUGGGCUGCACCUCCCAGCGCCACCGCCCCUGCCAAGCUCCGCCGCUGGAGGAUGAAAUUCUGUCAAUGUCCACUGUCUUCAAGUAAUUGAUUCAUGUAAUACAUUUUUUAGUGUCCAAGGAAAAUUCUUGAGAUGACGGAAAUGAAUUGUACUCUCAAGAAAAGGUGGAAUACGAAUUGGAUGGAAAGCUAGAGCUACAACAGCCAUGAGAAAUAAGAAGAAAGUGGACGAUGCAUUGCGUGGCACUCAAAAAAAUUCAAUUCAGGUUUGUACUACACAUAUUCCUUUACCCGAGCAAUAUUUUAUACUGCAUAGAUUCUGUUUUAAAAAUCCUAUUUUUGUUUCUCCUUUUUUGGCUGGAAAUUGGUUUUGUUUCUUUUAGAUGUGGUGCAACAUAUCUGAAGCUAUCUUGUCGAGUAUAAGAGUUGUUUGCUUUGUGAUACUUAAGUUUGAGUGUAUCGGCAUAUGUUUAUUACUCGUUAAAAGCUGACUUUGCCAGGCGGAUAUACCACUAAAGAUAUCUACAGGAAAUAGCAGUGCAAAAUAUACCACUAAAGAUAUCUACAGGAAAUUUUCUACAAAAUUGCAGUCAAACACUACCCCUGCCAAUACGUAAGAUUUGCAGCGUCAUCAACUUUGCCAGGCGGAUUGAUAGUUGGAUUUUGUUGGAAGGGGAGGAAAAUAAUCUGCUAAUGCACUGUGAGAAAGGUGGAUCGAUGGUGUUGGCAUUUAUGCUUGCAGGUCUUCUUCUGUACCAGAAACAUUAGACAUUGUGUACAAGCGAGCACCAAAGGAGUUUCUUCAGAUGUGAAAUAUUCAGUAUCUACAAUAAAUGAUUUUUUUUCAUCAUGGCGCUCUCCGGCAAGGAGCUCCGGCAGGCAGCGCCCGGCGAACAAUGGCCUGGUGGAGGUUGCUAGGGAGGACACACUCGAGUGUGUCGAGUGACGGUGUAAACAUCCGGUGCUUGUUGGAGCUUGGUCAAGCUCAGGCCCAAGGUCAAACUACGGGAAAACUAAUAUUCAGGAUCUGAAGUUACAAUCUUUGGUUGGAGUUUGGUCAAGCUCAGGCCCAAGGUCAAACUACCGGAAAACUAAUAUUCAGGAUCUGAAGUUACAGUCUCAUCUGGUCGGCCAAUGUGGUGGCCUUCAUCUUCUGCGAUGUCUUCCGCUUCCACCAGAAUUCUGCUCGUUUACAAGUAAAAUGACUAAGAAUCAGUCGUUCUAAUUUCUAUGAUGAAAAGACACCUUGUGGACAUGUUGGUUACAAUACUGAGAGAGGAAAGAAAGGAAGUUGUGCUCUCUGCUCUUGGUGCAUAACAAUCUAAGAAUGUCCCCGGGUCAGGGCUUUUAUCUAAUGCUACACUACAAGCUGCUCAAGGGUACGCUCAUGUGACGUUUGAAACUCGUUUGUUGGAUUAGAGAUGGUGGUAGUGGAUGGAGAAGCAAGAGGAAGAAGAAGAACAUGAAUAAUAUGAGUGCAUAGUUAAGUGUUUGAAUUCAAAGUUUACACAGGUGGGGGUGGAAAGAGGGACUCCGAGUUUGAUGUGUCAUUGUCAGAACGAUGUAAUGGUAAAGUAUGUAUACAACGAUGCAUAUGUGCAUGAAGCUUGGAAAAAUUAUAUAUUAGACACGAUUGAUGGGUGGUAGACAGAGUGAGGGGAGAGAGAGAGAGAUGCAUUUGUAUUUAUGGGUGCAAUAAAAAACGAACUAAAAAGCCCGUGGCAACGCCGCGACGAGGGAAUCUUUUAGUUACAUUACAUCGUUGGCCUUCUUCCUGUGACAGAGAAAGUUAUGGACACGGUAGAGGCUGCCGAGAGGAGUUCCCUUGCUGCAACCUCCAAUGGUAUUUCCGGUGCAGUGUCCAAGAGGUUAGUGGACAUUGUCCCUUUCUUUCGUAUUCAGUGAUGGAUGAAAAGUCAGAAAUGACAAUUCUGCUGUAUUAUUCAAUUCGAACUAAUGUUUAGUACUUAUAUUGCCGAUAGAAAUAAUUUUAUCCGCUUGAUUUAGGAAGUGCACAUAGGUAGGUCAACAUAUUUUAUAGCUCUUUCACAUGUAAAAGCAUAUGUUGCAUAAGAAAUUAUUAUCUUCGAAGCAUACUCAGAUUUCACUAACAAAUAGGGGGAGGUUCAGACUUCAGAGCAAUGAUAACAAGGUUUGUUCCUCACUCUUUUGUUGGAAUUUUAGUUCCAAGUUAACAUGAUUUCUUAUCCGCUUCAUAAGUCAUGCAUUUGCUUAAUUAGGUGAUAAGUAGAGCAAAAAACAAAUUGAUCAUGUUAUUGUGGGGUUUGUUUAAACUCCAGCAUAAGGAAUUCUGGUUUAAGAAAAAAGACUUUUGGCUUCUUUAAUUACAAAUUGAUUGCAACAUCGUGUUAGUAUGUGAUUUCUCACAUGUGGUUAUAAUAUUUGUGAAGACGUGCAUUGCACGUGCACUUGGAAGCGGGCCCGUGGCCCGCGCCGGACGGGCCACAAAUCAUUGGUAGUGCAUGUCGUGUUUAUCCUCACUGUUGAAUAUUCUGUAUAUAACUAUUUAUGCAAUACUUGGACCAUAGGAACAAUUCAUUCUGUAUAUUUUGCUGGGGUUUGUGCCUUCCAGUCAAUUUAUAGAUGGGUAAGAUGUAUCACAAUAUCUUUGACUUGCAUUCUCUAUGAUGUCAAGUAAGAAAAUAGAAUAUAUACUCCUUGAAUUAUCUUUUCUUUUUUUCGAUGUCUCUAUCUUACUUAUAUAAUCCAAUUGGCAUUCGCUAGAGUUUCUGUUGAUGAAACAUUUGUUUUGUGAUGUCAGGAGUUCUGUUUGUGACUUUGCAAUCAAUAUUCGUUGAUACGGUUCGUAGAUCAUGAUAUCUGCACAAUCUCAAUCUACUUCCUGUGACUAUAUAUUGUAUUAACGGGUUGUGUCAGGGUUAUUUUAUCAACUACUCGAUUGUUGAUCUACAUUAUGGUUUAUUUCUUACACGAAUUAAUGUUGACUCGAUUCCCUGUAGUAGGUUGAGAGGCUUCUCCUCUCAUGAUUUUCUCUGAUUAGUUUGCUUGGCUGCAUGCUACUCAUGAUUUCUUUGAAUUUUUCUGUAGGAGCUCGAUCAAAAAUCACCUAUGAAAAAUAUGCCGUUCUUCUCUACAGGGGUUGAAUGUGGAAUUUGAGGAGAAUAUGUGCACCAGCAUCCGACUCCUUGAUGUUGCUCUGAUCAUAUUGUGUAAAUAUAUUUCUAAUAAAGCAAUCGCCCGAUGGUGUACAUGUUAGAAAUAACAAGAUGUAAUCAUCAAGUGUGAGAGAUGGCAACAUCAUGAUGGAUGGUAUGUACUGUUGUGCUCAUUAAUAGGUUCGUCUUUCAUUCUCUUGCAGCCAGCAUGUUUUUUGUUAUGCAAACAAUUAGGAAAUAUCUAAUUUCUAUGUACGUCCAAAUAUACAUAAGUAGUUGUUGUUAGCACUGAAUUUGGAUUUGUUAACGGUCGCUGCAUUUGGUCUAUCUCGAGCCUCUGGCUGUGGAUCAUGUUCUUUUGAUAUCCGCUUGCCAUGAUAUGUUAUCUCUGGUAUGUGUUACCUCUAUUUUUUUUGUCUGGACUAAUUAGGGCCUGCUUCUGUUUGCUCUAAUUGAUAUAAUUGUUGUGGCAUGCAGCGGCCAAGCCAACAACAGAGCCAGGCUUAGGCCUGAUGACGACUUGACAAAUAUGAUCAAGAUGCUGAAGAUGAGGAAUCUGACGAAACUGAAGAAAUAGGGGGUACUCUUAGCUUUAGUUCCAAAUAUCAUUUUUUGAUAUUCAUUGCUAUGUAUCUGUAUAAACUUGUUUCGGCCAUUAUUGACAAUUGGUCAGCAAAAGAAUUGCAUAUCUCUAGCCAUCCAGAAUAAGCGGAUAAGAUGAUGUGCAUUCAUUUGGUGGCACAAAAUCAAUUUUCUUUGCCAACUAAUAGUACAUACAUUAAGAAAAUUACUACAGUUGGCAGCUCUUCACUGCAUGUUUUGAAAUGUUUCAUGUGCUUGUCCUACCAAGUCACUUACAGAAGCAGGUACAACAUGCUAAGUAAGCAUCCAAUUAUUUACCCUAUUUUUUGUAUCAAUCCGAGAAAAGACGAGAACGAUGGCUGGAAGGCAGGGCGUUGUUGGAUGGAAGGAAGAGUGAGAGAGAUAGGAGGUGCAUGAGGUGACAAGUUCAAUGGGGUUGCCAAGGAGGUUUGAGGGAAACAGGCCGCCAUUGAGAUUUUUAUAUCCGCUGGCAUGCACGCUUGCUUGCUGAUAUGCGCGUCUGGCUGUUGUUGUUGCGCAUGUGUGUGUGGUAUGCCCCUGCCACUGUGUAUCGCUGCGAUGUUGUGUGCUUGCUGCUGCUGAUCAGCGUGUGUGUGCGGUUGUGCGGUUGCUGCCACGUUUUCUGGUAAAACCGCCAUGCACUUCUUUUUCUUGUGCUGAACAAUUCAUGAUCACUAUACCACUGAACUAUUUCUUGAACAGAAGCCAUGUGAACUAAGUUUGAGCUCUUAUGUUGUUAAAUGAAGCAUGAUUUUUAGUAAGCUGAACAAUAGUUCUGAUUUCCUCACUUAACAGGAAAUUUUUAGUUCUAUUUGUAUUGUUCUAAUCAGUUGUUUUUACACUACUAUGUAACCAGCACUCUUAUAUAUCAAGUGAUUAUAGCAUCUUGAUUAUUUCUGUAUUGACUUUCCUUUCUCAGAUUACUGAUCCAUGGUCUUCCUGUAGAUUUCAAUGCUGACUUGAAUCCUGUUAGGAGUUGAUCAAGAUAAUCCGCUGUGUUGUGAAGCAAUCACUAAUUAAUUUGAGAGAGAACAGUGUGGAAUCAGAAGUAACGAGAUGUGACCAUUAAGUUUGACAGAUGGCAAGAGAAUUUGAUAUGUAGUCCUCUAUAUGCACCAAUAGUGCAUUCACUUUUCACGCUUCUAUGGUUGGUUCAUAUGUGGUUAUCGAAGCAAGAUAAGUUCUUGAGAAGGACUCUAAUUGCUAUGGACCACAAGACUUCAGAUGUUGCUCCCUAUUGCGUAUUGCCGUUUACAUUGGACUUUCUAUCCAGUAAGAAGGACACUGGGAUCAUUGUUCAUCUAGAGAAGUCAGUGCCAAAUCUACGUCAGGACAUUGGGAUGUUAAUGAUUGGAGAUGGAUUGACAAGUACCAAAGAUUGAUGCCAAGCAGAACUAAAACAUGUGCAUGGAUUACCUUCAGUCCCGCAUUCCAAUCAACAACAUUGGGCCGAGCGAGCGCGCGGGUGGCGCAAGAGGCAAUGGGCAGCCGAUGGCGAUUGAGUGGUAAGCGGCGGUGGCGAGGUCGAGCGGUUGGCACAAAUGGCAAGUAGGCAAUUACCGUGACGGGCGAGCGGACGAGGCGAGUAUGCGUCACGAUUGCAUCACAAUUAGAAUAAAGCAGACAAUGCAUACGUGUGGCCUUGUGUUAACAGCCAGCCAAAUCAAUCAGACAAGGACCAUUAUGUACGUGAGUGUGUUAGCAGUGGGUAUAUCCGAAGAUUAUUUCUCAACUCGGCAUGUGGGUAGAGACUAAAAAGACGAUGCCAUGGUAGCAUGGCAGACCUGGCAAGUGCCACGAACAUGAUGAUAUUAUUCCUUUUCUUAAUUCCUUGAGUUA